UAAUUCCUUCCCAGAAAGGAGCUUCUGUUUCUACAGAGGUUUCUGUCAGGGGUGUUGGCACCUGUCGCCGCCUAGGCGAUCAGAGCCCAAAUGCAGUGGCGGACGUGCAAGCGGCCCCUAGCGCAGUAGCAAACAAACUUCGCUCAGGAGGCUCGUAGCAGCGGACCACAGCCUAACAGCAAAGCUCUUUUGUUUUGCAACAAAAAC
rnacentral:misc_RNA from 1 species